AGUGAGUCAACUCAGACCACUGUCCAGCUGGAUUAAAAUUUUCAAAAUUUGGAGAUUAUAACGUUUUCCAGAAGAAAAAAAACAGGGACGUUGAUAUAUUUUGGUAUAAAUGCAUUAACUAUUUUGCAAUCAUGGUCCCUUAUCCUUUCCGCAUUUUGCAGUUUAGCCAUCCUCUAAUGGAGAUGGAAGAAUUAGAGUGAAGAAAAACCAACUGCGUUUUCGAAAAUUUAAGAGAAAACCAUCCAUUUUUUCUACCAAGUCUCAAACUGAACUGCAGGGUUCCACCCAGACGGAUGGGGAAAUCAAGAACGAAUUACUGAUGAUCAAGAUAGGGAAACAACCGUACGUACCUUCUUGUUGAGGAAGGAGAGGGGAAACUACUUGAGCCAAGGACCGAAACUCUACUACCGUUGACAGACAGUUCAGCGCCAGUAGCGUCACCAGGACGGAUACGACCGUCACCGUCGCCAUUCUGCUCCUUUGAAUCUUCUCCGGCCGGCCGGCCCG
rnacentral:lncRNA from 1 species